rnacentral:rRNA from 1 species
UGGGGAAUAUUGGACAAUGCGGGAAACCGUGAUCCAGCAAUGCCGCGUGAGUGAUGAAGGCCUUAGGGUUGUAAAGCUCUUUUACCAGGGAUGAUAAUGACAGUACCUGGAGAAUAAGCUCCGGCUAACUCCGUGCCAGCAGCCGCGGUAAUACGGAGGGAGCUAGCGUUGUUCGGAAUUACUGGGCGUAAAGCGCGCGUAGGCGGCUAUUUAAGUCAGGGGUGAAAUCCCGGGGCUCAACCCCGGAACUGCCUUUGAAACUGGAUGGCUAGAAUACUGGAGAGGUGAGUGGAAUUCCGAGUGUAGAGGUGAAAUUCGUAGAUAUUCGGAAGAACACCAGUGGCGAAGGCGACUCACUGGACAGUUAUUGACGCUGAGGUGCGAAAGCGUGGGGAGCAAACAGGAUUAGAUACCCCCGUAGUCC